rnacentral:rRNA from 1 species
AACGAACGCUGGCGGCAUGCCUAACACAUGCAAGUCGAACGAGAUCUUCGGGUCUAGUGGCGCACGGGUGCGUAACGCGUGGGAAUCUGCCCUUUGGUUCGGAAUAACAGUUGGAAACGACUGCUAAUACCGGAUGAUGACGAAAGUCCAAAGAUUUAUCGCCAGAAGAUGAGCCCGCGUAGGAUUAGCUAGUUGGUGUGGUAAAGGCGCACCAAGGCGACGAUCCUUAGCUGGUCUGAGAGGAUGAUCAGCCACACUGGGACUGAGACACGGCCCAGACUCCUACGGGAGGCAGCAGUGGGGAAUAUUGGACAAUGGGCGAAAGCCUGAUCCAGCAAUGCCGCGUGAGUGACGAAGGCCUUAGGGUUGUAAAGCUCUUUACCCGGGAUGAUAAUGACAGUACCGGGAGAAUAAGCUCCGGCUAACUCCGUGCCAGCCGCCGCGGUAA